rnacentral:rRNA from 1 species
GACGAACGCUGGCGGCGUGCUUAACACAUGCAAGUCGAACGGAAAGGCCCUGCUUUCGUGGGGCGCUCGAGUCGCGAACGGGUGUAUAACAUGGGUGUUAUCCGCCCUAGACCUUGGUAUAACUUCAGGAAACUGUGGCUUAUACCGGAUAGGCGCUCCUGCUGCAUGGUGGUGGUUGGAAAUUUUGGUCGGUUGGGGAUGGACUGGCGGCUUAUCAGCUUGUUGGUGGGGUAGUGGCUUACCAAGGCUUUGACGGGUAGCCGGCCUGAGAGGGUGACCGGCCAAAUUGGGACUGGGAUACGGCCCAGACUCCUACGGGAGGCAGCAGUGGGGAAUAUUGCACAAUGGGCGGAAGCCUGAUGCAGCAACGCCGCGUGCGGGAUGACGGCCUUCGGGUUGUAACCCGCUUUCGCCUGUGACGAAGCGUGAGUGACGGUAAUGGGUAAAGAAGCACCGGCUAACUACGUG